GGAAAAACCAGAGGGCUGAAGAAAGUCUCCUAAAUGGCCCUGGAGAUGUUCUGACUGGCUUCGGAGUGCUUUUUGGACUGUUUAAUGCCCUCUAUGUAGAGAAGACUUAAUUCUGUAUGUUCAGUCUGUAUCAUAAGUGAAUAAGUGAAUAAAAAGCUUUUGUUUUCAUGUGACUGAAGUUAAUUAUUUUGUUAACAACACCAGCAUAAAUUAUUUGAUAAAUAUUUUUAAAAUGUUAUAAAAAAAUCCCAAAUAAUAAAUAUUAAUUGAAGUAACACAUAAAACAUUGAGUGAAUACUUAAAUUUUAAUUGACAGAGUAUUUGCUGUAAGAUUCAACUGAUUAAAACAUUUUAGUUGAAUGAACUAUAAAACUAAUUGAGCCAACAUACUUUUUUAUAUUUGAGUCAAGUUUGGGCCAACUAAAAAACAUCAAUCCAGGUAACACUUUGGAGACAGAAAUUGAGUGAACGUAAAAUUUCUGUGGAACUAGUUACUAAAAAAUAAUUCAUUGAGCCAACAAUUUAUUUUUUACAGUGUAGCAUGAUAUUAGAUUUAAACACUUAAUACAUUUUUAAAUCAAUCACUUUGUCUCUGUUUACAUUAGUUAAUGCACAAUGAACAUUAUCAAAUAUUAUUAAUGUUGUAAAAUAUAUUGUUCAUUGUUAGUUCAUAUUAGCUAAGGCAUUACCAAAUGUUAAGGAAUAAACUAUUGUAGUAAAGUGUUACUAAAUUUUCUUUUACCAUUUCCUUCACAAUGUCUAUUUAUUUCUAUGGCUAACAGAUUUUGUAACAUUUGUCUUUUUUACAGUCUUACCAUUGCUUGUAAGCUGGAUUGGGUAAGAUGGAUCAUCUUUAAAGGCACCAGGCAAGUACAUGAUGUACAGUUACAAGUCAUGUAUUUUUUCGACUGCAAUAUUAAAUGCUUUCACGUCACAUGCAAAAUUACACAGGAAUGUGGCUGACUUUUUAUUUGUAGUUUACAUGAGUGUCCUUGCACUUUAUCAGGAGUUAAGGCAGAUGUGGAGGCACAACGGGUGAUACCAGACACACACCAAGCACAUUAUGUUCGGACAUUCAAUCAUGACAGGAUCCAGGUGGAUGCUGUCCAUUGAGGAAAGAGUUUGUGCAGCGGUUUCUGGAUAGAAUUAAUUCCAAAGAUGGGAAAAAGUGCACAUCCAGACAAGGAGCAAGCAAAUAGACAAGGAACUUGGUGCAGAGAAAAGCUGUGGCCAUUAACCCCCAUGUGAACAGCUUCAUGCAGUCCCUGAUUGAGUUCGAAUGGACGACUUCAAAGAAAAGGCCACUGUGGUCUGUCUGCCACAGUUUAAUGCAUUUAUUUUUAGUGUUAAAUGAAAUUCAAGUAGAAUAUUUAAAACUAUGGGCCAGUGUUCUUUUUACCACAGUGAAAUGUUACCUUUUAGUCGAUGAUGGACUUUAAACUGAAAACUUCAAACUAUGGAACAGUGUUCUAUUUGCCAGAGUUAAAUAUGUUACAGCAGGGGUCUCCAAACUUGUUUAUACUUGUUGAUUUUAUUUUAUGUUACUUGAUUAUAUGUUUAUUAUUGUUUAAAAUCUUGUUUUAAAUAUGUUUUGUUUCGAUUAAAUGUUUUUUAAAUAAAAUUUUGAUACAAACAUUGCUUGGAUUGCCUUUUAAUUCAUUAUGUCAUGUCAAGGAUAGCAUUUUUACCAUAUUAAUAACUAUAGAUUUAAACCUAAAUCUCUAGCUAUUUUAUAUAAUAUUAUUGUAUUAACUGUAAUAAGUAAUA